AAAGCUCUUGGGAAAUUAUGUU
rnacentral:miRNA from 1 species